rnacentral:rRNA from 1 species
UACGGGGGGAGCAAGCGUUGUUCGGAUUUACUGGGCGUAAAGGGCGCGUAGGCGGCCACGACAAGUCAGUUGUGAAAUCUCUGGGCUUAACUCAGAACGGUCAACUGAUACUGUCGGGCUAGAGUGCAGAAGGGGCAACUGGAAUUCUCGGUGUAGCGGUGAAAUGCGUAGAUAUCGAGAGGAACACCUGCGGCGAAGGCGGCACUCUGGGCCAGUAUUGACGCUGAGGAGCGAAAGCGUGGGGAGCGAACAGG